GUCUACAUAGUGUAACUGGAAGCACGUCUAACUAGCAGUCAGGAGGUUCCGAGUUCGAAUCUUGGUAAGAGCA
rnacentral:tRNA from 1 species